rnacentral:rRNA from 1 species
GACGAACGCUGGCGGCGUGCCUAACACAUGCAAGUCGAACGGGACUUAGUGGAAAGCGACUUCGGUCAAUGGAAACUAAGUUUAGUGGCGAACGGGUGAGUAACGCGUGAGAAACCUGCCUCUCAGUGGGGGACAACAGUUGGAAACGACUGCUAAUACCGCAUAAUGUAUCCGGAAGGCAUCUUCUGGAUACCAAAGCUUAAUGUGCUGAGAGAUGGUCUCGCGUCUGAUUAGCUAGAUGGCGGGGUAACGGCCCACCAUGGCGACGAUGUCUAGGGGUUCUGAGAGGAAGGUCCCCCACACUGGAACUGAGACACGGUCCAGACUCCUACGGGAGGCAGCAGUGAGGAAUAUUGGUCAAUGGGCGAGAGCCUGAACCAGCCAAGUAGCGUGAAGGAUGACUGCCCUAUGGGUUGUAAACUUCUUUUGUUGGGAAUAAAGUGAGGACGUGUCCCUUUUGUAUGUACCUUACGAAUAAGCAUCGGCUAAUUCCGUGCCAG